rnacentral:rRNA from 1 species
AGCGAACGCUGGCGGCAGGCCUAACACAUGCAAGUCGAACGAACUCUUCGGAGUUAGUGGCGGACGGGUGAGUAACACGUGGGAACGUGCCUUUAGGUUCGGAAUAACUCAGGGAAACUUGUGCUAAUACCGAAUGUGCCCUUCGGGGGAAAGAUUUAUCGCCUUUAGAGCGGCCCGCGUCUGAUUAGCUAGUUGGUGAGGUAAAGGCUCACCAAGGCGACGAUCAGUAGCUGGUCUGAGAGGAUGAUCAGCCACAUUGGGACUGAGGCACGGCCCAAACUCCUACGGGAGGCAGCAGUGGGGAAUCUUGCGCAAUGGGCGAAAGCCUGACGCAGCCAUGCCGCGUGAAUGAUGAAGGUCUUAGGAUUGUAAAAUUCUUUCACCGGGGACGAUAAUGACGGUACCCGGAGAAGAAGCCCCGGCUAACUUCGUG